AGCAGCCGCGGUAAUUCCAGCUCCAAUAGCGUAUAUUAAAGUUGUUGCAGUUAAAAAGCUCGUAGUUGAAUUUCGGGAUCAAUAUGUUGGUCGUGCCUCGGUACGUACUAGCUUAUUGGUUUCUCCUUUCUGAAGAACCAUGAUGUCAUUAAUUUGGUGUCUUGGGGAAUCAGGACUGUUACUUUGAAAAAAUUAGAGUGUUUAAAGCAGGCUCACGCUUGAAUACAUUAGCAUGGAAUAAUGAAAUAGGACGUUUGAUUCUAUUUUGUUGGUUUCUAGGAUCGACGUAAUGAUUAAUAGGGAUAGUUGGGGGCAUUAGUAUUCAAUUGUCAGAGGUGAAAUUCUUGGAUUUAUUGAAGACUAACUACUGCGAAAGCAUUUGCCAAGGAUGUUUUCAUUAAUCAAGAACGAAAGUUAGGGGAUCGAAGACGAUCAGAUACCGUCGUAGUCUUAACCAUAAACUAUGCCGACUAGGGAUCGGAUGAUGUUAAUUUUAAUGACUCAUUCGGCGCCUUAAC
rnacentral:misc_RNA from 1 species